GCUGGGUGAGGUGGCGUACAUCUGUAAUCCCAGCAGCUCAGGAGGCUGAAACAGGAGGACUGUAAUUUCAAAGACAGCCUCAGAAACUUAGUGAGGCUCUAAGCAACCUAGCGAGACUCUGUCUCUA
rnacentral:sRNA from 1 species